UGACAAUACGAAGAUGGUGGUCUCUCACUCUCUGGAGAAACUUCCCUGUGAAUCAUGAUCAAAAAGCUUCUACUUCCUGGUUCUGUUGCUCUGAAGGAAAAAACUACAAGCCAAGUGGACUGUGACGUCAUCAGUUACGCAACAUCCGUCACAUUUACUUUCGGUUUGAAUUUCCCUG